rnacentral:rRNA from 1 species
GGGAAAUAGAUACCCAAACAGAGGAUUGCCAUAGUAACGGCGAGUGAAGCGGCAACAGCUCAAAUUUGAAAUCUGGCUCUUUCAGGGUCCGAGUUGUAAUUUGUAGAGGGCGCUUUGGUGUUGGCUGCGGUCUAAGUUCCUUGGAACAGGACGUCACAGAGGGUGAGAAUCCCGUACGUGGUCGACAGUCUUCACCGUGUAAAGCCCCUUCGACGAGUCGAGUUGUUUGGGAAUGCAGCUCUAAAUGGGAGGUAAAUUUCUUCUAAAGCUAAAUAUUGGCCAGAGACCGAUAGCGCACAAGUAGAGUGAUCGAAAGAUGAAAAGCACUUUGGAAAGAGAGUCAAAAAGCACGUGAAAUUGUUGAAAGGGAAGCGCUUGCAACCAGACUUGCCUGUAGAGGUUCUACCGGUCCAACGACCGUGUGCAUUCUUCUGUAGGCAGGCCAGCAUCAGUUCGGGCGGCUAGAUAAAGACCUCUGUCACGUAUCUUCCUUCGGGAUGACCUUAUAGGGGAGGUGUAAUGUAGCCAGCCUGGAUUGAGGUCCGCGCAUCUGCUAGGAUGCUGGCGUAAUGGUUGUAAGCGGCCCGUCUUGAAACACGGACCAAGGAGUCUAACAUCUAUGCGAGUGUUUGGGUGUAAAGCCCGGACGCGUAAUGAAAGUGAACGGAGGUGGGAACCCUUACGGGUGCACCAUCGACCGAUCCUGAUGUCUUCGGAUGGAUUUGAGUAAGAGCAUAGCUGUUGGGACCCGAAAGAUGGUGAACUAUGCCUGAAUAGGGUGAAGCCAGAGGAAACUCUGGUGGAGGCUCGCAGCGGUUCUGACGUGCAAAUCGAUCGUCAAAUUUGGGCAUAGGGGCGAAAGACUAAUCGAACUAUCUAGUAGCUGGGUCCUGCGAGU